UCAAAUAAAACAUGGAGGAGAGUGUUCUGAUUGUUGUCCUGCUGAACGGACCCACUGCAGCCGCAGAAGCCUGGGGAGGAGGGGGGCUUCAUCAAAGCUCAGGCGAGAUGGACUCAACAACAGUGGAUUAAGGUCUUCUGCAUGAUAAAGUCCCUACCUAGGGGUGGAAUUAGCUUAAUAUGUGAAAGAAUGUUAUUGAGAGGGAAUAAAGUGCCAAAAAGCUCAGUCAUUCUCUUCGUAAUGUCCUAAUCCAGCGCCUGACACAGAGACCUUGGGCUGGAGUUUGUUAAUCACAGAGAUGCCCAUCUGUAUCCCCUGUCCUUUAAGCUAUUUAAACUUCGCCUAAACUCAAUUAUUGUCCCUGGGAGACCAAAAUGGCAUAUUAAGUUACGUGAAAGGGUAUUCACGCCAAGAAGGGGAAA